rnacentral:misc_RNA from 1 species
CAUAUUCAUUGAAAUGCCUGUCGAUGGACAUGAAUGAAGGUUUGUGACGUAUGUUCCAGAGACUGGCCGGCAGCCACACCGAGGACUGGGCUGGAUUCGGAUGGCAGGAGAGCAGCCAUGGCAAGCGUAAACGGGGACACGACGGCUACCGCCCGGGUGCCCUCACCACAGCCGCCAAUGCCCUGGUUUGGCAUGGACAUUGGAGGAACACUAGUGAAGCUGGUGUAUUUUGAGCCUGCGAUUGAAGAUGGACCAGCAACUACAGAAGCCCUGGAACGUAUCAAACACUACUUGAAGAAGAAUGCUGCCUAUGGUCAGUCAGGCAAGCGAGAUGUUCAUUUACAGAUGGAUGGUGUUGAGGUCGGUGGCAUCGAGGGCACGCUGCACUUCAUUCGCUUCCCUACAAGUGAGAUGCCCCGUUUCUUGGAGUUAGCCAAAGCCAAGGGGAUCGCCAGUUUAGCCUCUACUGUGUGUGCCACGGGUGGUGGAGCUCACAAGUUUGAAAAUGAUUUCCGCACUCAGGUGGGCCUUGGCCUGCACAAAUUUGAUGAGAUGGACUCUCUGAUUCGUGGUAUACACUAUAUGGAAGCCCACAACAGUCGAGAGUGCUAUUACUACAGCAGUCCUAUGGAGCGAUGUGUCAAAAUGCCGUACGACUUCAGCAAUCCGUACCCUUACCUUGUUGUAAACAUUGGUUCAGGGGUGAGCAUUCUGGCAGUGCGAUCGCCUACCGAGUAUCACCGCGUAACUGGCACUAGUCUAGGUGGUGGCACUUUUCUUGGCCUCUGCUGUCUGCUUACUGGUUGUGAAACUUUUGAGGAGGCUAUUGAACUUGCCCAGAAAGGGGACAGCACUCAUGUUGACAAGCUUGUGCGCGAUAUCUAUGGUGGCGACUAUCCCAAGUUUGACCUACGUGCUGACACUGUGGCUAGCAGUUUUGGGAACAUGAACUGCAGGGCUCGACGAGAAGCUGCCUCGCGGGAGGACCUUGCCCGGGCAACACUGGUUACUAUCACCAACAACAUCGGCUCCAUUGCUCGCAUGUGUGCCAUCAACGAGGGCAUCUCUCGUGUCGUCUUUGUGGGCAACUUCCUGCGGGUUAACCCCAUCUCAAUGCGCAUGUUGGCAUAUGCCAUGCAGUUCUGGUCCAAAGGCACGCUUAAAGCCCUGUUCUUGGAGCAUGAGGGCUAUUUUGGUGCUGUUGGCUGCCUGCUGGAGCUGAUGAAGGCUUGCAGCUAGCCACACAUUCCAUGCUGCCAUGGUGCAGCACGUCCCUGUGAUAUAGGCAGCCCUUUGUCAAAAGCUGGCCUGGUUUGACAGCUGCCAGAUGGUAUCCACUGUGCUCCCGACACUAUGCUGUCACCAAGAGGCUUGGCACGCUGGUUAGGAGAACCUCUUUUCAAUGUGAUCUUCACCAGCUUGACGCACAACACCUAUGGUCCAGCUGCCAGCCACCUUUUGAUGGCAUUGGUGCUAUGCGGGCCUUGGGAAUGGACAGAUGGUUUUUAUCUGUGCUUCAGGUUAUUACUGCAUAAGCUCCUUCAGGGAACAGUGCUUUUUGAGUCUCUGAAAAUCCCACAUAGUAUUCCAAAAGGUGUUCUCUCUCCACUUAACAUUUGGGUGUGUGUUUUAAAGGCGGCUUUAGGAAUGGACGUGUUGUCAAUUUCAUACUUUUAUAGUGUCAUCUUUUUUUGUUGUCCGCAAGUUUUAUCUAUCAAGACAAAUUAUUCAUUGUGGGAUUAGGCAGAACUUAUUGUGACUCUUUUCUAUUAUUACACUUUCUGCCUUUUAUCCCACAGGAGAGUGCAAACAAGUUGUUCUAAUUGAUAAAAAGAGAACCACUUGCAAUGACCACACAAGUGCCAUGCUAUUACGGCAGUUGUGAAUGUUCGAUCAAAGGAUAAGACUAUUAAGUGUAUGUUCAAAA